rnacentral:sRNA from 1 species
AAUUACACAGAAAUACACUUCGAUUUAACAGAACCCUACCAGGUCAGCUUGGGAGACAGAAAAUAAGUUGCCUUAAAUGUAAAUAGGUGUAAUUACGUUUUUAUUCCUAAAUUCUAACCGAUUUUCUAAAAUUCAAGCGUCCCUUUCGUCCUGCAGACCUCACUGUGGUUGCUAAAUAAUUAUGCCCGGACAGAAAAAAUAAAAACAAAACAAAAAAAAAAAAACCAAACAAACAAAUGAGGAAAUAGAGGUAAACUGAGGUGCACCGAUAGCAAGGGUCCAGACACCUGCCAUGACCCCACCCUCAUUCCAAUGUGCAGGGGUGAGGCCUGGAGCGAAGCAAUGCCUGGUCCCAGCUCACUGGCCCUUAGAGAUGACCACAGAUCCAGGGACUCCGCCCGGCGGCCAAGGGCAGCGGCCUGGUCAGGCGCUGCGGGCGCAGUACUCGGGAAGAAGCCAGGCUCUCUCAGAGAGAGACAGGAGAACAUUUUUACCAUCUUCCUGCAGUGGGACUUAGACAAAGGAAUAACGAACUGCAGAGCUGAGUGAAGCCCUGCACCUCCAGCUGAAGUUCAAGCCCAAGUGAGUCUAACAUCUCAAUUACAAGACACGGAGAAAGCAUGCCAGCCAGCCAAAACCGCCUGAAACCGAGGGAAGUCAUGAGCUCCAGUCAGGUUUCCAAGAUCCAAGCCACAUUGUAUGCUGGCACAUCCCCAUGGUGUACUGCCUUCAGCAACGUUCUAUCUUAUUAAAGGUUCCACAGACUCCGAAACAGCGCCACCAACUGUGGACCAAGUGUUCAAAUACGUGAGCCUAAACCACCGUAGGAGUCAUUCAUGAGUUUAACUGUGCAGAUAUUUCAAAGGGAUGCUGCUCAGACCUGAUUCUCUAAUGAUCAAAGCCCAGUCAAACAUCAAAUCAGAUUUGGAAUUUCAGUCUUCCUUGCUGGCAUAAAAUGUAUGUAUACAUGUGUGUGCAUAUAGGCGCUCUCUCUAUAAAGAGCCUAUAUAGGCGCUCUACCACUUAGCUAUAUCACAGCCCUGAUUUUUUUAUAUUUCUUUGUGUGGAGAUUGUCCACCUUGUACCAUGUUCAGCUUAAAUAUAAAAUUUGUUUUUAAUAUCUAGUAAUACUAGAAACUAAAUUUUUAAGAAUUUUAUGUAUUUUUUGUAUAUACUUGUACCAUGGGAGUGUCUGAUGCUCCUGGAGGCCAGAAGAGGGUGUCUGAGUCCCUGGAACUGGAGAGUUGGCAGGGGAUUAGAAUGAGCCAGGUGAGCACUCAGAAUCAAACACGGAUCCUGUGGAAGAGCAGCCAGCACUUACCUGCUGAGCCAGUGCUCCAACCCCUGAAAAUAUUUUUUGAUACUUGAAGUUUACCAAGUGUUUUCCAAUGUGAAGAUCUUCUACCUGAAGUUUUAGCACUGCUCACCUACAAAGUCACUUUGCAAGGAAAUUUCUAUUAGGUAUUUUCCAUUUCUUCAGACAGCCAAACGGUUGGUCUAAACUGCCGUAGGAAUUUUGGCUUAACUAAAGGAACAUCUAUGUCUUGCUAUGAGCGGUUAGGCAGUCACUCUCUUACUAAGAGAAUUAUGAAAUUCCUCUAACAUUAGAAAAACAAUUCUCCUUGGGUCCUCUUCAAUUUUUCAAAAACCAAAACACCCUAAAGAAAAAGAAAGGUAUCAUUUAAUAUUGGAAGAGUUGCCUGGCUCUCUUAGAACUGGGAGUAAUACAGAAUCAUGGAAAUAUUUUAGUUUUAGAUUCCUUGUUACUCUUCACUUUCCUUUUCAUUCCUUUACCCUGAGUAUAACCCUAGAUCCAGGGUUUCACUGUUCGUUCUCUGCCUGUGUACCAUAGGCACUAGUGCUUUUAAGUGCAGAGACAUUUCAGAUGUGUAGACUGAUUGAUUCCUUAGGGCUGGGAUUCAUAGCUAGUUCACCUUUAAAUUUCAAACAGCACUUGUUUUAAAACAAAAUUUAAAAUAGAAAUUACUGUUAAAUAAGUUUAUUAGAUAAUCUAUCCUUACUUUGAAUAUAAAGAAAGGAUUGCAUUUUAGGAAUUAUGGGAAUGCUUGAAAUCGGUAGAGUGGUCUGGUGGCUCCUUAGGACGGGGGGACCUGCAGACAUGAGAAGGAGCUGAGAAUGACAUGAAAUGUUCUGUAACUGUGUCAAAGGCUAUAGAGUUAUGAGACUAAAGCUUAUAACCUGGACGGGAGUACUGGCCUCUACUCCCAUACUUGAGACAUAGUAACAGGGUCAGGACCCCCCCACACACAC